AGUAAAUGUCCGCUUUCUGAUUUAUUUCCAUUUCCCUCCGAGGGAAGUUGGGGUGUUUGUGAAGCGUCUCCUGCGGCCGGAGUCUGAUGUAUCGCUGAGAGGAUGGGAAUCGAGCCCAUGACUCUGUGACCUGGAGGUGGAGGGAAAGGGACAGAGAAGAUAUGGAGAGAAAAGAUCUGCAGCAUCUACCGGUCACUGCUCUACGUGUCCCUGUAGCUUCACCUUUCGCCCGUUCAGACAAGGCAGUGAGAUCCGGAUCUGUCACGUCCUCUCGUGGGUGGACAAUAUGUUUUUAUCUGCAAAAUUUUCAUCAUGUUUCAUUCCACUGUUUUUACCUGCUGAAGUGCAGCCAAUGUUUCUGGGUGUAUGAUCAAUUUAUGUGAGAAUUUAGCCUUUUCUAUUUAUCUGAGCUUCUCAUAAAUGUGUACACUUUAGUUAAGCUUCACUCCAGAAUUUCCAAUGCAACAACCCAGUCAGUCAAAUAGCUCCACACAAUUAAAAUAGUUUAUUACAUUUUUUUAUGUUGUACUACUUACAUAAUUUAACUAUUUAAUAUAUAUAUAUUUCUUAUUUUAAAUCACAAUUGUUAAAAUCUAUUAUUAUGAAUUAGGUUCUACUGCUGCCGCAGAGACAACGAAUUUCAUGACAUAUGCCAGUGCUAUUAAACCUGAUUCUGAUAAUUGGUAUGGAAGACCCACCACCGGUCACCUGAUCCCAGUUACCACACAUUGUAAUGUGAGAGUGAAGCCUUUUCCAUUUGUUUGCAUUCUUCAGAAAUGACAACAAUUAAAUUUCCUUCCGUGGCUCCAAAGCAGCUCAGUCUGUCUAAUAUUUCCACACAAUUAAAAUGGGGAAUUUGUUUGUUAUCAGCACAUACUGAGCUACAGUGAAAAUCUUGCCUGACAUACCAUCCACACAGUUCGAUACAUGAUGACAGUACAUUGAACUGAUAUACGACAAAACAAUAACUGUUACCAAGUAUUAUGGCUGCAGAGAAAGUGCAGUGCAGGGUCACAUUGUGAGGUCGAGUCCAUUUUAUCGGACUGGAGACCAUUCAUUUGGCUUAUAACCGCAGACAGGAAGCCGUCCUUAAGCCUGGUGUUACGCGCUUUAAGGCUUUUGUAUCUCUUCCCUGAUGGGGGAGCGGGUUUGCAGCAAGAAUGUCCAGGUUGUGAGGACCUUUGAGUACAUGGCCUGCUUUUCCGACGCAGGGGAAGUGUAGGAAGAGUCCAUGGAGGGGAGGCUUGUUUCUCUAAUGUUCUCUGUUCCCCAAAGUUCUCUGCAGUUCCUUGCAGUCAUGGGCAGAGCAGUAGCCGUACGAAGGCAUGAAGUAUCGACAAGAAGCUCAGAGACCUCGGCCUUCACCCUGCCUCGUGUAGCUGGAUCCUGGACUUCCUGUCAGAUUGCCGGCAAGUGUUUUAUUCACUCCAAAAUAUACAAGAUAUUAAGAGGAAUAGAUGGAGUGGACAGCCAGCGCCUCUUCCCCAGGGCACCACUGCUUAAUACAAGAGGACAUGGCUUUAAGGUAAGGGGUGGGAAGUUCAAGGGGGAUAUUAGAGGAAGGUUUUUUACUCAGAGAGUAGUUGGUGCGAGGAAUACACUGCUUGAGUCAGUGGUGGAGGCAGAUACACUGGUGAUGUUUAAGAGGCUACUAGACAGGUAUAUGGAGGAAUUUAAGGUGGGGGGUUAUAUGGGAGGCAGGGUUUAAGGGUCGGCACAACAUUGUGUGCCACAGGGCCUCAACUGUUCUAGGUUCUCAAUGGCCACCUAAGGGCAUACUGUGGGGGCAAGUUAAACUUUCAGUCCUAUAUACUUUAGGGACUACAACUUGGUGAACAAUUGCCCAUUCCUCACUCACAGGUAUAGCAGGUGGCCUCUACUUCCUCAUUAACACUCCAUCCUUGAGAUAAUACCCGACUGGCACUUUCUUAUUCGCAUCAUCUGAGACAGCUGUUUCUUUUAAAGGUUCAAUCUCAGGGUCUCAAUUCUGUUCUGCUAUGAACUCCUUCCAAGACAGGGAUAAAUCUUUCUCAUCAGACUUAGUACCUGAAUCCUGUUGAAACAAUGAAGGCAGAAAAGACCCUUACAAGUCAUCAUAACCUGAUCCCGAUUUUGGCUGUCAUAGGUACCAGAAUCAUGCUGCACAGAACCGUCUCCAUUGGCAGACUUUUUAGCCAUACUUCGAGUUACUGCGCAGGAAGGAUAAAUAUUAAAAUCCAUCUGUGGGUCGUCAGUGGUUGGCUUAGUUGUCAACUGCACUGCAGGAACAACUUUACCAUCUGCCAGGACAUUCCCUAACAGCAAAGUAACAUCUUCCACCGGUAAACUGGAACAUAAUCUGAAUUUAACAGGUCCUGAAACCAAACCUGACUGUAAAGUUACCCUGUGCAAUGGCACA